rnacentral:ncRNA from 2 species
AGACCAUCAAGAGCAGCCGAGAGACCUGGAUCGUUGAAGCUGCAGCAACCCCCCAUUUCGGGUGCGGGUGCUACUGCCAGGAACGAUGGAGG